rnacentral:lncRNA from 1 species
UAAGUGCAGGUCACUGAUUUUGACAUAAUUAGACAACUAACAAUUGUGUCUCUUUUGAUUUGGUUUUAACCAUUUCUCAUACAAGUAGCAUGUGAAAGGGAAGAAGGUGAGUUGACGUAGACAAAGAAAAAUAUGGCUAGUAUUAUAGAAAAUAAUAUAUGGUAAGGAGUGGAGAAAAAAAGAGACAUCCACGUUACAUAUUUAUUGACCACAUAUGUAUGUACUGAAUAUUAUAUUCCAUACCACACGAAGUAGUAUAGAAGGACUAAAACCACUUCCAUAAUCCUUAAAUAUUAAACACUAUCUCAACUUCUAAAUACUGAAUCAUAAAUCAUAAUCCAAAUAUAAACUAUAAUUAGGUGACUAAAUGACACUAAAAUGAAUAGAUAAAAUAUAAGACUUUUCAAUGAAGAAUGCAUUCCAUAUUAACCCAAUACACAACUUUUAAAUACUAAACACAAACCAAACUUUAAAAUAUUAAACUCAAAUAUAAACCUUAAUUAUCAGCCCUAAACUCAAUUAUCAAAAUAUGAAAAUAUUAUAAUAUUAAACUAAAUCCUGGCCUAACUUUUAAAUAGUGCAGGGCUCUAACCCAACACACAACUUCUAAAUCCUAAUUACAGACCUAACUUUUGAAUACUAAACCCUAAAUCCUAAUUACUAAACCCAAACCUCAACUUAUAUUUUUCAAAUACUAAACCCUAAAUCCUAAUUACUAAACCCUAAACUCAAAUAGAAUGGAACAAAAUACAUAGUAUAAUACAUAUUGGGGAACAAAAUAGAACACUCUUUAUUAAUCGAGAAAUGGAACGAUAAUGAUAGGAUCACUAAACUCAAAUCUCAACCCUACCUUCCAAAUAAUAAACCAUAAAUCUUAAUUAUUAAACCCUAAACCCAAGUAUAAACCCUAAACCCAAAUAGAAUGGAACAAAAUACCAUAUUUCUCAAAUGUUGAUAUGGCUAUGCCUUCAUGGAAGAUGGUAAUGUUUGCUUCAAUGUCAAUCCCAAUCGUACAUAAACUAAACCCAAUCAACUAAUCAUUAAACCCAAUCAACUAAUCACUAAUCAAUAAAUAGAAUAGUACAAACUGAUGAAAUUAUGAAAUGUUUAUGAUUGCAUGUAAGAAGUUAAUGAUGAUCCCAACCCCAACUACCUAUUAUUAAAUACUAAACUCUAAACUCUAAAUCCUAAUUACUAAACCCUAAACCUAAAUAAAUAGAUUAAGCUAAACCCUAAUCAAGGAAGUAUAAACCCAAAUAGAAUGUAUAUAAUAUGGUUUACUAUACCCAAACCUUUACUUAGUAAAUCUAAACCCUAAGCAUGAACCUAUAAACCCAAAUACAAUC